AUGCAAGUCGAGCGAACGGAUAAGGAGCUUGCUCCUUUGAAGUUAGCGGCGGACGGGUGAGUAACACGUGGGUAACCUACCUAUAAGACUGGAAUAACUUCGGGAAACCGGAGCUAAUGCCGGAUAACAUUUGGAACCGCAUGGUUCUAAAGUAAAAGAUGGUUUUGCUAUCACUUAUAGAUGGACCCGCGCCGUAUUAGCUAGUUGGUAAGGUAACGGCUUACCAAGGCAACGAUACGUAGCCGACCUGAGAGGGUGAUCGGCCACACUGGAACUGAGACACGGUCCAGACUCCUACGGGAGGCAGCAGUAGGGAAUCUUCCGCAAUGGACGAAAGUCUGACGGAGCAACGCCGCGUGAGUGAUGAAGGUUUUCGGAUCGUAAAACUCUGUUAUUAGGGAAGAACAAAUGUGUAAGUAACUGUGCACAUCUUGACGGUACCUAAUCAGAA
rnacentral:rRNA from 1 species